ACAGGUGAUAAACAGGUGGUAAACAGGUGAUAAACAGGUGAUAAACAGAUGAUAAACAGGUGAUAAACAGGUGGUAAACAGGUGAUAAACAGGUGAUAAACAGGUGAUAAACAGGUGGUAAACAGGUGGUAAACAGGUGAUAAACAGAUGAUAAACAGGUGGUAAACAGAUGAUAAACAGGUGAUAAACAGGUGAUAAACAGGUGAUAAACAGGUGAUAAACAGAUGAUAAACAGGUGAUAAACAGAUGAUAAACAGGUGAUAAACAGGUGAUAAACAGAUGAUAAACAGGUGAUAAACAGGUGGUAAACAGGUGAUAAACAGGUGAUAAACAGGUGGUAAACAGAUGAUAAACAGGUGAUAAACAGGUGGUAAACAGGUGAUAAACAGGUGAUAAACAGGUGGUAAACAGGUGAUAAACAGGUGCUCCUGCUCCUGGCGACUGAACUUAACAAGCACUAGCCUUGUUAGCUUCAUCGCUAGCCUUUGUGUUGGCCGCGGUAAAACUUUUGGUUAGAAGUGUUUUUGUGGAGCU